rnacentral:sRNA from 1 species
AAGUCUGUUUGAGAAAACAGAAGCUCAGGUCAAGUAAGUGCACACUUACAAUAACACAGUUGAUAAUGGGGAAACUCAGAGUCAAGAAAAAGAAAAGCAAGCCUUGCAUUUUGCAAGGCU